UCAGAGACAGCUUUACCUGAAUGUGAUGCUGGAGAACUUUGAACUUCUGUCCUUGCUGGGUUGCUGCUGUGGAGAAGAGAAUGUGGAGACCCCGACUGAACAGAAGGUUUCAGUAAGAGUGUCACGGGCAAGGAAUCCCAAGCGAGGUCACACUAGAGAAAAG